AGGACCCUGGGACUUCAGAUAAGGCCAUGCCCUCUGUAGCAAGGUGUUUUAUAACCUUCCAUAAACAGAUCUUCUUGUGUUACAAGAACACAGUAGAGAAAAGAACACUUGACCAUGGGAUACCAAGUCUGGUAUUCCUGGUGGAUCAGAAGCUACUGACAUCAUCUGGGAGCUUGUUAGAAAUGCAGAGAUGCAAUUUUCAAAACAGGAAGACUUGGAUUUUUUGAAAUUACCAAAAUUCACUGGAAUUGUGAAUGUGAUCUCUCCGUAGUGCUCAGCUUUGCUGGAAUGAAACCGAGGUGAGACCUUCAUGUGGUGCCCUGCAAGUCUGAGGAAACUGCCACCCAACCCUAUCUUCUGUUUCUAAUCGAGGGAGCUCUUUUUAGCUGAGAAGUUCCCUUUUAGCACAGUGCAGUGCUGCCUUGGAGAACAGGAUGACUGCAGACAUGAUGGCAGGAACUGUAGCUCCCGUUUUGGCCUAUGUGGAUGAGUGCGACAUCUGGGGGUUGCAGAGAAAUGAACUGCAAAGAGAUGGCGUCUCUGAGACCCUAAUGUUACAGGGUCACCAGAGAAGAAUCAAACUGCUUAUUUCUU